rnacentral:tRNA from 1 species
GGCUGGCUCAGUGGUUGGAGCGUAGGUCUCGUAACCAAAAGGUUGCGGGAUCGAGUACCGCUAGAGGCUG